UUUAUUUCCGCCUGUGUCCUUUCUUAUGGACAUGGCUGUUACCACAGGGAGCGGGAAAUAUGACGACGUUUUACUUCUUUGACUUAUCGACUCAUAAUAAUGUUCAAGUGCACAAUAACCGGCGUAUAUAAAGCAGGCUUGGAGGGGGUAUUCACUAAGACGAUUGAUCGACAAGGUAACAUAUUAAGAAAAAUUCUCAUUUUCAUAUGAUAGAAUGAGGUGUUUCGUUGUGUUGGCGGUUAUUUUAACUAUUUCAUCUGCUCAGUAUUACAAUCCAAGUGUAGGAUACAAUUCCGUCUAUGGAACGUCUGGCACAGGAUAUGGAACGCCUGGCGCAGGAUAUGGAACGUCUGGCACAGGAUAUGGAACGUCUGGCGCGGGAUAUGGAACUUCUGGUUUAGGAACGUCUGGUUUAGGCUAUGGAACUUCUGGAUUAAGCUAUGGAACCGGAACCGCUGGCCUUGGCUAUGGAACUGCUGGCGUUGGAUAUGGUACUUCAACAGAAGGAAGAAUUUAUAAUUCUGGAACAUGUAAUUACUUGUUUGGAUCCACCAACAUUCUAACUUUUUGUUCACGAUAUCGUCAAGCAUGUAGUGAAAUAUUAGUGAGUGAUGCCUCGCCAGCCAAUACGGUGAAAGUAUGUGAAGGGUGUAUGCUAAACUUUGUAAUGAACUGCAAUAAUGCACAAACAGUAGCUGCUUCAAAUACUCAACUUGGAAAGAAAUGAUUCAAGGAAAAAUAUGCCCAAUUCUAUACUGGCUGUAAAUAAACUAGACUCAAAUCACUUAUUUGCUUUAAGUAAUUAUAUUCAUUUCAAAUAAUCAUAUUUAUUUCAAAUAAUUAUAUUUAUUUCAAAUAAUUAUAUUUAUUUCAAAUAAUCCAUUUAUUUUCGUGUGUAUUUAUAAUUGUAAAUUAAAUAAAGACCAGUCUUUCAAUGA